rnacentral:hammerhead_ribozyme from 1 species
GUACAGCUGAAGAGUCCCAAACUAGGACGAAACAGCUGUCCAGCAC